rnacentral:other from 1 species
UAUGUUCUAGGAUAUGCGACAAGCUCUUAUUUUGAACCUACAUUACAACAAAGGGAGUUCAAGAUUUAAUUAUGGAUAUGUACCUUUUUGUGAGACCCUUAGACGGCAUCUUAGGCGAUUGAUAUAAUUGUGAGAACACCCACCUAUCGAGAGAUAGGUGUCAAAAUCAGGGCACCGGUAUUUUGGAGUCACU